rnacentral:rRNA from 1 species
AUUGAACGCUGGCGGCAUGCUUUACACAUGCAAGUCGAACGGCAGCGGACCUUCGGGUGCCGGCGAGUGGCGAACGGGUGAGUAAUGCACCGGAACGUGCCAUUGAGUGGGGGAUAACGUAGCGAAAGUUACGCUAAUACCGCAUAUUCUGUGAGCAGGAAAGCAGGGGACCGCAAGGCCUUGCGCUCUUUGAGCGGCCGAUGUCAGAUUAGCUAGUUGGUGAGGUAAAGGCUUACCAAGGCGACGAUCUGUAGCGGGUCUGAGAGGAUGAUCCGCCACACUGGAACUGAGACACGGUCCAGACUCCUACGGGAGGCAGCAGUGGGGAAUUUUGGACAAUGGGCGCAAGCCUGAUCCAGCCAUGCCGCGUGAGUGAAGAAGGCCUUC